UCUAGAACUUGAGAUAUGGGCUGAGCACUGAACAGUGUCUAGGCUGCAGGACAGAUUCCGACUUCUCCGUUGUUGCUAAUAUUUGGACUUCCAAACAGCAGAAAUGAGUCUUUCACUCAUAUAAAUGUUUUAGGCCUAUGUCUUAGCUUUCCAGC
rfam:Populus trichocarpa scaffold_5_contig_332, whole genome shotgun sequence.